UUUUACAAACAGAAUUAAUGAUAAUAUGUAGUUCAUAUCUAUCCCUUAAACCUUAUUUACCUACUUUCAAACCCAGGCAACGUGUUCCAAGUGUUCCUAACCCUAAAUAGUUCCUGCAUGUUCGAUCCUGUUUAGUUAUGCAUAUUACUCAAUAUCUAUUUCUAAUUAUCUAUGUGUAACAGAAAGGUGUUAUUGUAAGUUGUAAAUGUACAUCGUGGACCCUGUCUUGCACUGCAAUUGGAAAAUAAUACAUAAAUAGAACGUCUAAAAUUAACAAAUAUCCUCAAAUAAAAUAAAUUAAUUGCUGUACAGUGACUGACAUUGAUGGAAAAGUCAUAGUUUUUCCUUUCAAUAAUUAUCAUGUUGCUAUGAAAAUGCUACACUCAUAGCACUUCAAAAUUGUAAAUGUAAAUAUAAAAUACCCCCUAAACAUCCUAUCCACCUUAUCAUGUACUUUUAUCCUACCUCGUUUAAUUCUUAAAAUUGUUAGUUAUGUCUUAGCAAAGACUUUGCAUAAUGGAAUCAAAAAAAUUUUUUUUGGUUACAUUUUUAGAUGAAGAUGAUGCUCCUGGCAUAGUUUCAUCAAAGUGGUUAAGAUACCAACACUUGUUAUUACCCUAAUGUAUGCACUGAAGAAAUCAAAAACAAACUUGAAGAAGAUGCCUGCACCUGAAGCAACAUGGUCACAAUAUCAAAUAAAAAUACUUAAAAGUUAUGAAACUUAUGGCGAAGCACGAUUACAUUUAAAAAAAGCGGAAGAAACCUGAAAUUUGGACUCAGACGAAGCAGAAAAUGAUGUUACAAAUGAAGUGACAGUGGACAUAAUGUCUGCUGUAAAUUACCCAGUCACCUCCGGUUCUAAAGAGGCCAAGCAAACACAACUCAAAGCUGUUAACUGCCAAUCAGAGUGCAUUACAAACAAGCAAUAUGCUAUACAGCAGAGUCAUAUGAUUCAGAUUGUGUCAGACCUAGCUAACCAAAUGGCUGAAAUCAAUAGAAAAUUGGAUUUACCGUUAGCUAGGUCCGAAGAAACAUUUUCACCAACAGAUGACAAUGCAGGUCUUUCAGAACUUUUGGCAAGUCUACCAGUAAAGAUAUUGCAAGUUUUAAUAAUUUCGAUGACCAUUUAAAAAUAAACAAGAAUACAGGCAAUAAUGUCAUUUUUGUCUGGUAUUGGCGGCAGAAAUGUAAGAAGCCUUACGACUAAUAUGUUGAGACGAAUAAUUCUAGAUGAUGUAGCCGAGUUGUAUUCGUUAACUGGGAAACAGAUGAAAAAUUCGAAUAAAAAGUCAUUUAUGAGUACAGAAACCUAUAAAUUAAUCUUUCAAAUAUGUAGAAAAAUCAACGAAGAUGUAACUGAAGACAGUCUAAAAGAAAUUAUAAGUGAUUGGCUAAAUCAAGCUAAAGUUAGACUUUCAAGAAGGUAAGAUUUAAUUUAUUUACAUUAGAUGUAUUUUAUUUUACACUAGCGACCCGCCCCGGCUUCACACGGGUACAUGUAUUAUACAUAUGUAUAAAACAAAGUUGC